UAGGGAAUCUUCCACAAUGGACGCAAGUCUGAUGGAGCAACGCCGCGUGAGUGAAGAAGGUUUUCGGAUCGUAAAGCUCUGUUGUUGGUGAAGAAGGAUAGAGGUAGUAACUGGCCUUUAUUUGACGGUAAUCAACCAGAAAGUCACGGCUAACUACGUGCCAGCAGCCGCGGUAAUACGUAGGUGGCAAGCGUUGUCCGGAUUUAUUGGGCGUAAAGCGAGCGCAGGCGGAAGAAUAAGUCUGAUGUGAAAGCCCUCGGCUUAACCGAGGAAUUGCAUCGGAAACUGUUUUCUUGAGUGCAGAAGAGGAGAGUGGAACUCCAUGUGUAGCGGUGGAAUGCGUAGAUAUAUGGAAGAACACCAGUGGCGAAGGCGGCUCUCUGGUCUGCAACUGACGCUGAGGCUCGAAAGCAUGGGUAGCGAACAGGAUUAGAUACCCUGGUAGUCCAUGCCGUAAACGAUGAGUGCUAAGUGUUGGGG
rnacentral:rRNA from 1 species